AGCCAGGAUUCGAUACGUGACAAGGGCGAGCCAGGAUUCGAUACGUGACCAGUGAGGGGCGAGCCAGGAUUCGAUACGUGACCAGUGAGGGGCGAGCCAGGAUUCGAUACGUGACCAGUGAGGGGCGAGCCAGGAUUCCAUACGUGACCAGUGAGGGGUGAGCCAGGAUUCGAUACGUGACGAGCCAGGAUUCGAUACGUGACUAGUAAGGGGGCGAGCCAGGAUUUGAUAUGUGGCUAGUGAGGGGUGAGCCAGGAUUCGAUAUGUGAGUAGUGAGGAGUGAGCCAGGAUUUGAUAUGUGGCUACUGAGGGGCGAGCCAGGAUUUGAUAUGUGACUAGUCAGGGGGUCAGCCAGGAUUCGAUACGUGACUAGUAAGGGGGUCAGCCAGGAUUUGAUAUGUGACUAGUGAGGGGUGAGCCAGGAUUUGACAUGUGACUAGUAAGGGGUGAGCUGGGAUUCAAUAUGUGACUAAUGAGGGGUGAGCCAGGAUUCGGUAUGUGCCUAGUGGAGGGGUCAGCCAGGAUUUGAUAUGUGGCUAGUAAGGGGUGAGCCAGCCAGGAUUUGAUAUGUGACUAGUGACGAGUGAGCCAGGAUUUGAUAUGUGACUAGUAAGGGGGUGAGCCAGGAUUUGAUAUGUGACUAGUAAGGGGGUGAGACAGGAUUUGAUAUGUGACUAGUGAGGGGUGAGACAGGAUUUGAUAUGUGACUAGUGAGGGGUGAGCCAGGAUUUGCUAUGUGACUAGUAAGGGGGCGAGCCAGGAUUUGGCUCCAGCCUUCAUUCCAACAUCCAUGCCUUUUGUACUACACCAGCAGUUUUCAAAUUUAUGGGACAAAAUUUUACAUUGGAUUCCCAC
rnacentral:lncRNA from 1 species